rnacentral:rRNA from 1 species
UUAAUUGAUUUGUGCCUACAAAACCAUCCGCCUGGGGACUACGAACGUCAGUUUAAAACCCAAAGGACUUGGCGGUGCUUAACAUCCACCUAGAGGAGCCUGUUCUGGAACCGAUAACCCCCGUUAAACCUCACCCUUCCUAGCCCUAUCAGCCUAUAUACCACCGUCGUCAGCUUACCCUGUGAAGGCCUAAAAGUAAGCAAAAUUGGCACAGCCUAAAACGUCAGGUCGAGGUGUAGCCCACGGAAGGGGAAGAAAUGGGCUACAUUCGCUAAAUCUAGCGCAUACGAAUGCCACAGUGAAACCUGUGCCUGAAGGAGGAUUUAGAAGUAAGCAGGAAGUAGAGUGUCCUGCUGAAACUUGGCCCUAAAGCGCGCACACACCGCCCGUCACCCUCUCCAGGCAUUUUAUAGUAACCCAAAAACCCCCCUCAACUUAUAAAACCCCCCCCCUCUAUACGCCGCAGGAGAGGAAAGUCGUAACAUGGUAAGUGUACUGGAA